CUGGCGGCCGGCAGAGGCGGCGGUUGCCGCAGCGGCCGCGGCUGGGGGCGCGGCGGGGGUGCGGGCUCCCGCCCUCCGCCAUUCGCAGGCGCCGCUGCUCGGGGCCGCGCCGCAGCCGGCUGCGGUUGACCUUGCGGCCGGCCGCUCCGCCAUGGGCACGGUGCCGUCGGCGCUGAAGCACUGCCUCAGCUACCAGCACCUCCUCAAGGAGCAGCCGUGGAUCGGGGAGCCGAUCCCCCCGCCGCAGCCCGGGCAGGAAUCCCAAACAUCUGGACUGCCUGAGUACAUAAAGAUUGUAGAAGUUGGGCCAAGGGAUGGAUUACAAAAUGAAAAGGUGAUAGUCCCAACUGAUAUCAAAAUUGAGUUAAUCAACCGGCUUUCCAAAACAGGGCUUUCUGCAAUAGAAGUGACCAGUUUCGUUUCAUCCAAAUGGGUGCCUCAGAUGGCAGAUCAUAAAGAAGUAAUGAGAGGCAUUGAGCAGCAUCCUGGAGUUCGAUAUCCUGUUCUCACACCUAACCUUCAAGGUUUUCAUUCUGCUAUUGCAGCAGGAGCUACAGAAGUCUCAGUAUUUGGUGCAGCAUCUGAAUCUUUUAGCAAAAUGAAUAUUAAUUGUUCUAUUGAAGAAAGCAUAGAAAAAUUUGAAGAAGUUGUCAAAUCAGCAAGGAAUAUGAAUAUUCCAGUGCGUGGGUAUGUGUCUUGUGCAUUGGGAUGCCCAUAUGAAGGAAACAUCAUACCAGCUAAAGUGGCAGAAGUAUCGAAACAGCUGUACAGUAUGGGCUGUUACGAAAUCUCUCUGGGGGACACAAUUGGUGUGGGGACUCCUGGAAGUAUGAAAAGAAUGUUGGAAGCUGUUAUGAAAGAAAUUCCUAUGAGUGCUCUUGCUGUUCAUUGUCAUGACACGUAUGGCCAGGCAUUAGCCAAUAUCCUCACAGCCAUACAGGUUCUGCUACACUGCAUGUCUGAAGGUGCUGUGUUUUUGGCUGACCUGAACUUGUCAUAGAUCUUGCCAAAAUUCCUUGAUGAAGCAGGCAUUACACAGUCUCUCUGACUGGCUUUAUGCAAGCAGCUCCUUGGCUUGGUCUGAAGAAUUAAUGAAUGACAGCUGGAAAGCCACAAAUCACUCUACACUAAUUCAGGCAUUGCUUCGAUGGGAGAUCUCCUAGGAGUUGAGAGAGGUGCUGGUGAUUCAGAAAUUGUUACAGACCUCCAAGGAAGAGUAAAAAGAUGGGUCAGAAAAAUUCUGUGCUGGAGAGGCCUCAAUAAGGAUACUAAUCAGAAAAAGAAAUCCUUCAUCAGUUAUAGAUUAUCCUUGUGUCGAAAUUCUCUCACUAGUGGUAACUUGGAGCAGUAGACACAACUUCCCUUUGGCUUAAAAUCAAGCCUCAGCUGUCUUUUAAAACAUUCUUAAACCUUGAAUUUCUCAUGCAAAUCCAUGUAUGUCUUUGUAUGUCUCUGCAAGCUCAUAUGGAUUUGUCACUCUAGAUCUAAAUGGAAUAUGAAUGGAGCAACUAGAGAAAUAAAUUCUAAAGUGGUUUUAGCAAUUUUCUUUCUUAAAGCCAAAGAUAAUUUCUAUACUAAUAGCACUGAAGCUAAGGAUUUAUAGAAGGAAUGUGUUUGGCCCAAAUGCUUUAUGCUCUUUCUUCUUUUUCUGCACUGGCCUACUUAUUUUAUUUUUUUUAUUUUUUUAUUUUUUUUCUUGGAAUGCUGUUUUAUUGUAGCUUUCUUAAUCACCUCCUGAAUGAUUUCACUUCUGAGUUUCCCAUGCUGUAAGUGAUGUUCAAUUGCACAUUUCAUUCUUCAGUGUUGGUGGUAUGUUCCAGUUUUCAGCUUUAUUGGUAAUUUUCUGUUUCAUUAAAUCUAGAACCAUUAAGGCCAUUCUGUAGGCGCUCUAGUAUUUAUUCCAUUACUGGGCAUCCUUCUCCUGUUGUGAGUGCAUUUCUGUGCAUAUUAAAAUAAACAGAUUCAGAUGAUUUAUUAUAAAUGAUUCUUAGCUCUUCAUCAGAUGCUGUUCUGCAUCAUUCAUUAGUUAUCAUAUCUGGGUAUCAUAUCAUAGUUUGUAAAAUGGAAAGAAGUUAGAAUUCAUAGAAUAUGAAUAGAGAGUUCUGUCUUAUUUCACCUUUUGCCGGUUGAUUACAGGUUUGGAAAACUGUGCUUGCAAACAAGGAUUAUAUAAGGUAGCACAGGAUGUAAUUCAGGUACUUAACGAGCAGAUUAUAGGCUCAUCUGAGGACAGUACUUUGUACAGGCUGUUGUCUACUUCUCGCACCUUUGCUCUCCUCUGUAAUUACUUUUUUUUUUUUUUUUUUUUUUUUUCUCCCAUUCUUUGUCUCCCUCAGUGCCUAAGUGGAGUAAAUACACUGCUGGCAGCUCACUGGCAAGAAAGGAGAAUGAUAUGAACAGAUACCAUGUUCUUACAUCACCUGAUCAUAAUAUUUUCCCUGGCACUUAUGUUAAUUUUCUCCUCUCUUUUACUAUUUCCCUAGCCAUUGUUUUUUAGAUGUAAGUCCACAUAGCCAGAGCAAUAGUCUUUUUAGAGACCUACUUCCAUCAUCCCAACUGUGUCUUGUUUAACUUGACUAUUUAAAUGACUAAGAGUCAGCAUCAUCCAGUUCUGAAGUGGACUGGGCAGUAAUCCAGCUCUUUCUGUUAGAGACAGACAUUCAUUUUUUUGGAAUAGAAACAAAUUACUUCCAAAUGCUGGAAAUGUAAGAAGGCUUUUCAAAAAAAGGUUUUCAGGUGUUUAUAGAACAAAUUAGUAUAAAAUAGUUUUCAAAAUGCUAAGCCCAAUUUAAAAUAAAUAUUUGGUACUUUUAGGAGUUGUGAAAAUAUAGCACUAGAAAACUGAAAUCAUUGAGCUGUAGCAUGCAUAAAAAUAUAGUGAGGGCACACACUGGUGUCAAAUUCCCCAUGCAUUUUUCUGUUGUGCCUCAGCUGGAUUGCAUGCAUAAAAAGGUAGUACUUUGUUUAUUUUUUUAUUUUUUUCACAAGACUACAAGUAGGCUGUAGGUUUGACAAGAUGACUGUCUGUAAAGAUCAGAAGUUGUUAUGUUACAACAGUUUUUGAUUCACUGUCUGAAAAUCUAGAUUAUCAAGAUGACUGGAAAAUGAAAAAUUUUCAUUGGCUUGAAGUUUGUUUUUGUGCCUCAUUCAGCAUCACAUAGGCAUUCUCUCAUCCAAUCUAGUUCUCCACAGCUAUUACCUGUCCCCUUUGGUUUUAUGGUAUCUUGCUUGCCUCUUACACACCUACAACAGAUGAAAUGGUAUUUCCUCACACAAAUAUCCUACCCACUGGCUCAUCCCAGAUCUGCUUCAUCUAGCAAGCUAGUCCCAUUCUUCCCUUUUAGCAUUCUUCCCACAUUCUUCACCAAUUUUUGUCUCAUCAGGCUAUGUGUCUGAAUAGACUUAGAACUACCUCCUCAUUCUCAAAUAUUCUCAAAUUCUAGUUAUAUCUUUCCUUUAUUCCCCCCGGCCGGGGGGGGGGCCGAAUUUCAUGAUGUUUCCUAGGCUGUAUUUAUUUCUGUCAUAUCUCCAUUUGAAUCAGUCAGCUUUCUUUCCACUGCCUAGGUCCAGUGAAGUGUCAACUGGCUACAUCUACGCAUGUAAACUACAUGUGCCUGGGCUUCUCUGGCACUGAGGCCAAUUGAUAUGAAAAAAAACUUGCAUCCAUAAAAUCAAAUUCUUACCCUACAAAACAAGGUCAUAGAGGUCAUUCUUACCCCAGAAAACAAGGUCACUGCUGUCUAUGAAUGAUUUCUAAGUGGUGCUAGUUUCCCAAAUGUGCCAGAGAUUGUUUGUUGGAACCCUAUCUGUCCCAGGCCAAAGCUGUUCCAGAGACUGUGGCAAGAGUUACACACAGUGGACAAUUGACUUCCAGUACUUGUAAGUCUUCCCCAACAUAGUUUAGUCUACUGGUGAUAUAGACAGCAACAAGAGAAUGCAAAUUUCUGUAUAUUAACAACACAAAAAAUAAUUUUUGCUGUCAUUCCUAGAGGCUUUUGGAGGCUGUCCCCAUGGACAUGUCCCCAUGGCUGAGGUUUCAGAGGUUCUGGUCAGUCUUGGCUGUGUUUUGUGCUUCUGGAGACCCGGAAGAUUUUCACUGCCCUCCUGCAAGUCUUCAUGAUGCAGCUGUACACUGUGUCUGUCUGUACGGCUGAGGUGGGACUCCCCAGAUUACACGUCCUUGGUUCAACGGAUGGGGUCAUGAGCACUUCAGGAGGCUAUCAUUAAUUACCAUGAGAAAAGCAGCGCAUUUAAGUUGUUUUGAAAAACUUAACUGUUAUGGCCAAUUUUUUCCAAAGCAAUCAGUUCAGGGCAGAUAUCUGUCCCAUAGGAUUUCAGCUUGAUUAAUGAAAAAUUGGCAAAGCUAUAACAUAGAGUACCAUAGGAUCUAAAUAUGGAAGAUGCUGGCCAAUCUUUGCAGCUGAUAUUGCUAACAUGCCAAUUUAAAUUAAAUUUCAAAUUUAAAUAUGCCACAAAAGUAAUGUCCGUUUUUAAAAAAUAGUGAUCUAAAACAUAUUCUAGAUUAAUACUUAGUUCAUGUUAAUAGCCUACCUAUUUUUUCCUGUGAUUAAGAUAUCCUUAUGAUGGUAAUUCUAGGGUAUCUAUUUUUAGAUCCUUGCUAAUUUAGAAUAUCUGAGUAUGCCAAUAGUUGUGUACCUAGCUUUAUGUUUUCAGCUAGUCUGUGCUAGACUGUGGUAUAGCCUUAUUCCUUUCACUUUCUAUUUGUUUUGAGCUUACAUGCUGUACACUGAAAAGCUAUGUGGUGCAGUGAUAGCAAUACCAUAUAGUAAGUACUUCAACAUAAUUUUAAAACAAUUCUAGAAAAUUAAAAGUUUGGUGAGGUCACAAUUAUAUUAAGCACAUGUAAGGACAUAGUUUCAUGGCAUUCUAAAAAGAAGUUAUUUCUAUAAGAUUUGCUUUACUUGCUUUCAGAAAUUCUCCCUAAAAUCAUAUUGCACUUUCAUCAGGCUAUGACUCUGCAUCCAUCAGUUAGAAGAAGAUAAAUGUCUUUUAAACGUGUAUUUUUCCACACUGUCAAAACGACUCUCUCUCCCUUUUUUCCCUAAAGUAAUUAUUUUUGAGUUUAACAGUAAGUGUGAAGUAAGGACGGAAUUGCAACAGUGCUUCCCACUUGGGACUGAUGUUUCUUUUCAUGACCUUAUGUUAUUUGUAAGCAUGGUUAUUCUAGCUUAUGCCUGGAAAAAAGGUAUUGCAUGGAAGCUGACUUUUAGACCCAGGCUAGGGUCAGACUAGUUUGUCAUGGCAGGAGCAGUCCUGGAGCUGCAACUGGGUCCCAAAUCCCAGUGUCUCCAGUAGGGAAGUGCAGUGUUUACAGGAUGAUGCUUACUUCCUUUUUGGGCAGCUCUACAGACAGCUGUGCUGAGGGGGUGGAACUAAAUCUCUGGCCAUUCUUGCAUAUUUAUGGCUCCUCAGAACCAAUUUAGUUACAAUCCAGCAAACAAUGAAGGAGGGAGAUUUACUUCCUAUUGUUGAGACAUAUCAGGUGGCUUUAAACAAGCUGUUGGGAUGUUUCCUAGGGUAAAUUAAAAUGCAGAAAGUGCAGAGGUACUAUCAUCAGACAUAGUGAAGUUCCUGAGUUCACUCUAACAGAGUAUGUUGGGUAGAUCUUUGUAGUUGUAUGAGAGCAAGUGAACAUCUUGCAUAACUGGAAUAAGUCGAAGAUGACUUUUCAGUCAAGACAGAAACCAAAGCUGAUGCAGUACUUGAAGUAUGACAAUCAUCUUUUCUUUCUGUGCUGUCCAAAAGCAACAUUGAACCAGUCUUCCGAAGUGAAUCAUUUGUCAUUUAUCCAUUUUUUUUUUCUUUUGAAAUAUUACAGUACAAAUCAAAACAGCUAGGGUUUCAAAAAUAAAAACUUUUUGAUCAUUGUAAAGAUAAAUGAGUGAUACACUCCUUAAUUUUUGCCAGCUUGCAUAUUUUCCUGUUUAUUUAAUUUUUUUUCUCCUUUGUUGCGUAAUGCAAGUACUAUACAGUGACAGAUUGUCAGAGGCAAAUGAUGUGAUUUGCUUAAUGUAAAGUCCUUUCAAAUGCAGAAAGUAAGUAAUUAUAAAACAAUUUUUCUCUGAUCUUUAUUCCCUAUAGUUAGAUGUUACUCACAGUAAGAGUUGUACCAGCCUGUAACAGUAUUUGAUGUAUAUUUUCCUCUUAAGAAUAAACUGUAUGAACAGAGCAAAAGUAGACUUAGCAAGUAGCAGGGCAAUAUAAUGUGCCUUUACAGCAAAAGAGAAGGUGCUAAGUUGAAUGUUUUUUAAAACAAAGCCAGUGAUCUGGCUUUACUGUCAGAAGAAGUUUUAGAUGAGAAAUUUGCAACUUUUUUUUUUUUUUUUUUUUUUUUUUGAUAUAUAGAAAAAGGAACUUUAGUGCUGCAUAAGGGGAAAAAAAAUGUAAGAUUAUAUUUUGCGACUGCCCACCUUGGAAGGCAAGAUUCUUUUGGAGGUACUGUAACAUAAUAAGGUAUUGUAAUGUAAUGUAAUGGACAUUACCAAAUUGAUCCAGUUAUAAUGGAAUAGUAGAAGCUGAGAAACUGUUACAAUUUCUUUUAAAGUUUACUGCAUUAUGAUGAACACCAUGGUGAAAACUUUAUGUUAAAUAAAGACUCACUCUGACACAGUGUCCAAAAAGAUGCCCUAUUUGAUUACAUGCUCUUUGGUCACUACUUUACUGUAGUUAUUAACUGUUUAAUCCCUUCCUGGAUUUCUACUUAGGACAUCAUAUUGUAGCAGAAAAUGGAAAGUUCUACUUCCUUGAAAUUACAUAUAUGAAUGAAUAAAACAUACAUUCCAGAGCUCUUAAAGGGAGAUUGCUCCUUGGUUCUGAAUCUUUGCAGUAGAAGCUAUAUUUUCCAACAUGACCUUACUGGUCCCAUUUGUUAAAUACAUUUGUCUGAAUCUGGAAUAAAAUUGAGCAAGUGUUUAGCUAUUUGCAAAUUCAGGGUUUAUUUAGUGGGAACGAAUUAAAAAAACAAAUGUGCUGAUGGAAAUAACUGGGUUUUGUUGCAAAAUAUGUAGAAGGAAAUAAUAAAAAUAAAUUAAUUUUAAAAAGCCACAAAUAUUUAAUACUUUAUUAUACCAUAACAUGUACUGAAAUUUUGCUAUAGCUUUUGCUUAACUAACUGUGAACCUGGUCUUCCUCUAGAGGAUGAGGUGUGCAAAAAUGAAUACAUUUGUUUUUGUUGUUGCGUUUUGCUUUAUUUAUUUAUUUUGGUGGUGGUGUAUUUUUUUCCAUGCAAUGAUUUUCAGAACCCUGAUACCAAUGAAGAAAAAAGCAGCAGUAUAGCUUUGUAAAUAUUUUAUAAAAUGUCCAUCUGAAGCCCCUCAACCUCUGCUAAUUAGAGGCCAUACUGUGGAGAUUGACAGGGUAAAUUACCAGUUAAUGUUUACACAACAAAACAUAUGCCCAGUACAAUAUCCUACACUGAUGUUACUGAAACCAGAGUCCGGAAAUGUACAGUGGAAACAAGACGUGGUACUUUUCUUGUGCCAACACAAACAGCAAUUACAGCACAGUGUGAGAGAAGUCAUAAGGAAUACUACUGCAUAUCAGUAGUUCAACAAAGUCAGCACUUUUGUGUAAUUGCAGGGGAAAAGGGCUGAAAAACAUUACAGAUCUCAGCAAGAAAUGGUCCUUUAUACUUUUAAACUGAUCCUUGAUAAAACAAUGCUGGGGUCAUGAGAAGGCUACUCUGCCAAUUUUGCUUCACUGUGGGAUCCAUUGACAUCUGGCUGAGCUGCGGAAGCUGGAAAACUUCUUUAAUAUUCUCUUGACAGUAAAAUGGACAUGUGGAAAACAUUCUAAUCUGUUAAUCUUUGGUGCUCCUGAAGAAAAAGGACAUUUGGCUUUAUACUUUGUGAUGAUAAAUAUUAAGUCUCCAGGCCUAGCUGUAAAUAAGUUGAAAGCGUUUGAAUGGAGAAUGUUCUUAUUUUCCAAAUAUGGGAGAAGAUGAAUAUGCACCUGUGUAAUCCAGAUGACGUAAUAAAUGCCAGGAACUUUUUUCUAUGGGUAGUUUACCAUACAUCUUGGCAAUUUACUUUACUUUAUGGUGAAUAUAUUUUGUCAAUGAAUAUUAGGGAGCAGUAUCUCCAAACUUCCUUAUGUCCUACAUACAAAAUCAGAAUAAAGCAUUGUUUCACUCAAGGGAUUAUGAAAAUAGAAGUAAGAGAGAUUCAAA